rnacentral:rRNA from 1 species
UACGGGGGGGGCGAGCGUUGUUCGGAAUUAUUGGGCGUAAAGGGCGCGUAGGCGGUGUGGCAAGUCAGGUGUGAAACCUCCAGGCUCAACUUGGAGCUUGCAUCUGAAACUGCCGUGCUAGAGUGUGGGAGAGGAGAGUGGAAUUCCCGGUGUAGCGGUGAAAUGCGUAGAGAUCGGGAGGAAUACCGGUGGCGAAAGCGACUCUCUGGACGGCAACUGACGCUGAGGCACGAAAGCGUGGGGAGCAAACAGG